rnacentral:rRNA from 1 species
AUUGAACGCUGGCGGCAGGCCUAACACAUGCAAGUCGAACGGUAGCACAGAGAGCUUGCUCUCGGGUGACGAGUGGCGGACGGGUGAGUAACGUCUGGGAAACUGCCCGAUGGAGGGGGAUAACUACUGGAAACGGUAGCUAAUACCGCAUAACGUCGCAAGACCAAAGUGGGGGACCUUCGGGCCUCACACCAUCGGAUGUGCCCAGAUGGGAUUAGCUAGUAGGUGGGGUAAUGGCUCACCUAGGCGACGAUCCCUAGCUGGUCUGAGAGGAUGACCAGCCACACUGGAACUGAGACACGGGCCAGACUCCUACGGGAGGCAGCAGUGGGGAAUAUUGCACAAUGGGCGCAAGCCUGAUGCAGCCAUGCCGCGUGUAUGAAGAAGGCCUUCGGGUUGUAAAGUACUUUCAGCGGGGAGGAAGGCGGUGAAGUUAACAGCUUCACCGAUUGACGUUACCCGCAGAAGAAGCACCGGCUAACUCCGUGCCAGCAGCCGCCGUAA